rnacentral:sRNA from 1 species
CACCAAUUUCUCUGCGAGGUUUUUGUGGGACUUGCAACCAGUUGUCAAUCACAUUUGGAGUUCUCAUCGGGGGAGUUCUCGGAAUGAAACUUGUACUGGGCACUGAAACCCUUUGGCCAAUACUAGUUGUUUCUUGUACAGAUUUGUUUAGAGGGCUGUGACAUCAUUACAUUGAUGGCCUGUUUAAUACCUCUCUGUUGUAUUUCAAGCCGAAUAGGCCAGUGGACCCUUAACACUAGUCCAAUUAUUCCUGCAAUAUACAGUCUUGUAACCUUGACCUUUUGCCCAGAGUCUCCAAAAUAUCUGUUGGUGAAUAAAAGAGAUGAUGAUGCGGCUG